rnacentral:rRNA from 1 species
CAGUCGCCGCGGUAAAACGGAGGGCGCGAGCGUUACCCGGAUUUACUGGGCGUAAAGGGCGUGUAGGCGGCCUGGGGCGUCCCAUGUGAAAGGCCACGGCUCAACCGUGGAGGAGCGUGGGAUACGCUCAGGCUAGAGGGUGUGAGAGGGUGGUGGAAUUCCCGGAGUAGCGGUGAAAUGCGCAGAUACCGGGAGGAACGCCGAUGGCGAAGGCAGCCACCUGGUCCACUUCUGACGCUGAGGCGCGAAAGCGUGGGGAGCAAACCGGAUUAGAUACCCCCGUAGUCCCUGUCUCUUAUAC